GACAGAGGGUGCAAACGUUGUUCGGAAUUACUGGGCGUAAAGCGCGUGUAGGCUGCUUGGAAAGUCGGAUGUGAAAGCCCUGGGCUCAACCCAGGAAGUGCAUUCGAAACUUCCGAGCUCGAGUUCUGGAGAGGAUAGCGGAAUUCUCGGUGUAGGGGUGAAAUUCGUAGAUAUCGAGAGGAACACCAGUGGCGAAGGCGGCUAUCUGGACAGAAACUGACGCUGAGACGCGAAAGCGUGGGGAGCAAACAGG
rnacentral:rRNA from 1 species